UAUCAAAGAUAACUGCCGAAGACAGCAGGUGCCGUAUGGCAUAAGGAGUAAACGCCUGCCGAGGAGUAUAAGUUCUGAAAAGAAUUUGUGUGUCCUUCUGUCUUGCAGAAGGGCUUUUUUAUUACU
rnacentral:sRNA from 1 species